GGACAGAUGCUCAGUGGUUAGAGCGUGUCUCCGGGUCAGACUAUGUCCCGGGUUCAACCCCCGGUCCGUCCC